rnacentral:rRNA from 1 species
AUUGAACGCUGGCGGCAUGCCUUACACAUGCAAGUCGAACGGCAGCACGGACUUCGGUCUGGUGGCGAGUGGCGAACGGGUGAGUAAUGUAUCGGAACGUACCUUUCAGUGGGGGAUAACGUAGCGAAAGUUACGCUAAUACCGCAUAUUCUGUGAGCAGGAAAGCAGGGGAUCGAAAGACCUUGCGCUGAUUGAGCGGCCGAUAUCAGAUUAGCUAGUUGGUGGGGUAAAGGCCUACCAAGGCGACGAUCUGUAGCGGGUCUGAGAGGAUGAUCCGCCAAAGUGGAAGUGAAAAACGGGACAGACUCCAAGGGGAGGCAGAGGUGGGGAAUUUUGGAAAAUGGGGGAAACCAGGAUCCAGCCGGGCAGGGGGGGGGAAGAAGGCCUUGGGGUUGGAAAACUCUUUCGGGGGGGAAAAAAGCGGAAGGGGUAAAACCCGGGGGGGGGAAGGGAAACGGAAAAAAAAGCACGGGUAAACUAGUG